rnacentral:rRNA from 1 species
CCUACGGGUGGCAGCAGUGGGGAAUAUUGCACAAUGGGGGAAACCCUGAUGCAGCGACGCCGCGUGAGUGAAGAAGUAUUUCGGGAUGUAAAGCUCUAUCAGCAGGGAAGAAGAAAGACGGUACCUGACUAAGAAGCACAGGCUAACUACGUGCCAGCAGCCGCGGUAAGACGGAGGGGGCAAGCGUUAUCCGGAUUUACUGGGGGUAAAGGGAGCGUAGACGGCUGUGCAAGUCUGAAGUGAAAGCCCAGGGCUCAACCCUGGGACUGCUUUGGAAACUGUGGAGCUAGAGUGCUGGAGAGGUAAGUGGAAUUCCUAGUGUAGCGGUGCAAUGCGUAGAUAUCAGGCAGAACCCCAGUGGCGAAGGCGGAUUACUGGACGAUAACUGACGGUGAGGCGCGAACGCGUGGGGAGCAAACAGGAUUAGAUACCCGAGUAGUC